GCUGGGGAGAAAGGGGUUUGGCA
rnacentral:miRNA from 1 species